AGUACUGUUGCAAAAUUGCAAUAACAAGCACGAUCUAAACACAAUUCCAAAAUUAACAUUUCGUGCUAAACUACAACUUGUCCUUCGGUUUCUUUUCGCCCUUUGGCCAUUGGAAAUAGGAGAUAUCCUUGCGCUGCGCGAUACGUUUCAAUGUGACUUUAUUCAUUAAUUGACUCGUUAUUAAAUCAAACAGUGGCGUUAUUUUCAAAAAACACAAGGACUGUUUAAAAUAAUUAAGUAACCUUAGACCGAAAUUGGGGCAGCCCUGCCAUCUGUUGACACGUAAACAAACCACACGCCACAAUCACUUGAUUUGAUUGAGAGGAAUAGAAUAUGGAGACGCCACUUGGACAAUAUUUACUUUUCUAUGUUCUAUUGACGAUUUUUGCCAAUUUUUGUAGCAAUUUCGGCGAAAAAAGGCGAUAAUUACAGUUUUGGGUGUCCGAUCAAGUGGGCAUUGUCAGGCCCAAAUGUCAACAAAAAACAAAAACAUUGAUUUGGUUAGAAAAAACGUCACUUAAUUAUUGACUGGGGUGUUUUGUGAUAACGAUAAUUAAGUAAACGUAAUUACAACGUGAAAGCAUGUUGACUUACCAGAUAGAUCAAAAUAUGCUCCAGUCUUUAAAAGCAGUCUCGUGUCGAAAAACUACAUUCACUACGAUAAAAAAUAGUCACAGCACAUUGAAAUCGUUGUUUGAUACAAUUAACAUCAUCUCAAACCAUUUAAACACAUCACAAGUUUACAAUCCACCAUACUCUUCGUGAGAAACGAAUGAAAGAUGUCUCUACUUUCAUCCUUUAAAAUGCAACUUUCGUUGCCAGUUUUAUUUCAACGACGUCUUUGAAAGUAAUGCAAUAAAUGGAAAUAAUAGAAAAUUGCACUUGGAAAACACCUCUACGCGUAUGUUGCACACCACUCUGUAUAUUUUAUUAUUUUUGCGAACGUUUCGCCAUCUAGGGGAAUCAGCCGAAACAGAGAAC